rnacentral:rRNA from 1 species
CCUACGGGGUGCUGCAGUGGGGAAUAUUGGACAAUGGGCGAAAGCCUGAUCCAGCCAUGCCGCGUGUGUGAAGAAGGCCUUCGGGUUGUAAAGCACUUUCAGUGGGGAAGAAAGCCUUGGGGCUAAUACCCGCGAGGAAGGACAUCACCCACAGAAGAAGCACCGGCUAACUCCGUGCCAGCAGCCGCGGUAAUACGGAGGGUGCGAGCGUUAAUCGGAAUUACUGGGCGUAAAGCGCGCGUAGGCGGUCUGAUAAGCCGGUUGUGAAAGCCCCGGGCUCAACCUGGGAACGGCAUCCGGAACUGUCAGGCUAGAGUGCAGGAGAGGAAGGUAGAAUUCCCGGUGUAGCGGUGAAAUGCGUAGAGAUCGGGAGGAAUACCAGUGGCGAAGGCGGCCUUCUGGACUGACACUGACGCUGAGGUGCGAAAGCGUGGGUAGCAAACAGGAUUAGAUACCCUAGUAGUC